GAUGAAGAACGUAGCGAAAUGCGAUAAGUAAUGUGAAUUGCAGAAUUCAGUGAAUCAUCGAAUCUUUGAACGCACAUUGCGCCCAUUAGUAUUCUAGUGGGCAUGCCUGUUCGAGCGUCAUUAAGUCCACUUAAGCCCUGCUUAGUGUUGGGAGACUGCUCCAGCGGUGCUACCCUGUAGCUACCCUGCAGCUCCUCAAAGACAGCGGCGGAGUUGUGGUAUCCUCUGAGCUUAGUAACUUGUUCUAGCUGUCGAGUACACCACUUCCCCUGCCGUAAAACCCUUAAUUUUUAAUGGUUGACCUCGGAUCAGGUAGGAAUACCCGCUGAACUUAAGCAUAUCAAUAAGCGGAGGA
rnacentral:misc_RNA from 1 species